UUAAGCUAAUAAGAGCGCAGGGAGGAUGCCUUGGCAUCAGGAGCCGAUGAAGGACGCGGUAAGCUGCGAAAAGCUCCGGGGAGUGGCAAGCACACAUUGAUCCGGAGAUGUCCGAAUGGAGCAAUCCACAUGAGUGAAGCUCAUGUAUCAUAUACUGAAUAAAUAGGUAUAUGAGGGGAACCGUCUGAACUGAAACAUCUAAGUAGGACGAGGAAAAGAAAUCAACCGAGAUUCCGCUAGUAGUGGCGAGCGAACGCGGAAGAGGCUAAACCAGAGUCAGCAAUGACUUUGGGGUUUGGACUGCAUUUAGUAUCAAUGAGGUCUAGUCGAAGUACAUGGGAAGGUACAUCGAAGAGGGUGAGAAUCCCGUAGACGAAAGAUCAAGUUGGCGAGCAGUAUCCAGAGUACCGCCGGACACGUGAAACCCGGUGGGAACAUGGGGGGACCAUCCUCCAAGCCUAAAUACUACCUGAUGACCGAUAGCGCAUAGUACUGUGAAGGAAAGGUGAAAAGAACCCCGGGAGGGGAGUGAAAGAGAGCCUGAAACCCUGUGCUUACAAGCACACAGAGCACGUCAAAGUGUGAUGUGGUACCUAUUGUAGAAUGGUCCGGCGAGUUAUUUUAUGCAGCGAGGUUAAGGACUUAAGGUCUGUAGCCGAAGUGAAAGCGAGUGUUAAUAGCACGAAACAGUUGCAUGCAAUAGACCCGAAACCGGGUGACCUAUCCAUGUCCAGGCUGAAGUGAGGGUAAAACCUCAUGGAGGGCCGAACCGACUCCCGUUGAAAUGGUAGCGGAUGAGGUGUGGAUAGCGGAGAAAUUCCAAUCGAACCCGGAUAUAGCUGGUUCUCCCCGAAACCGUUUUAGGACGGGCCUCGUGUGAAGAUUAUCGGAGGUAAAGCACUGAAUAGCCUAGGGGGCGAGAGCCUACCGAAGCUUAUCAAACUCUGAAUGCCGAAUAAUCGUUUCACGGGAGUCAGACUGUGUGAGAUAAGUUUCAUAGUCAAAAGGGAAACAGCCCAGACCCACAGCUAAGGUCCCAAAGUGUAUUUAAGUGGAAAACGAUGUGAAGUUGCGUAGACAACCAGGAUGUUGGCUUAGAAGCAGCCACUCAUUAAAAGAGUGCGUAAUAGCUCACUGGUCGAGUGACUUUGCGCGGAAAAUUUAACGGGGCUAAAAUACACACCGAAGCUUGGGCUUGACGCUUUUGCGUCAGGGGUAGGGGAGCGUCGUGUAAGGGGCGAAGUCGUAUCGUAAGGGACGGUGGACUUUACACGAGUGAGAAUGCCGGAAUGAGUAGCGAGAAUUAUGUGAGAAUCAUAAUGGUCGAAAGCCUAAGGUUUUUGGAGGAAGGUUCGUCCGCUCCAAGUAAGCCGGGAGCUAAGGUCAGGCGGAAACGCGUAGCCGAUGCACAUACGGUUGAAAUUCCGUAGCCUCAGAAAGAUUUAAGCAGAGGGACACUUUGAAAGGACUGUAGCCGGGUGUUGGUUACCCCGGUCGUAAGGGAACGAAAUUAAGUAGUGAAGGCAGUCUGGACGGAGGCGAGAAAAGCUCUGUGUAUAUCUAAUGAGCCCGUACCGCAAACCGACACAGGUAGGUGGGAUGAGAAUUCUAAGACCAACGGGAGAAGGGUAGUUAAGGAACUCGGCAAAUUGUCCCCGUAACUUCGGAAUAAGGGGAGCCUGCGAAAGCAGGCCGCAGAGAAUUGGCCCAGGCGACUGUUUAUCAAAAACACAGCUCUAUGCUAAAUCGAAAGAUGACGUAUAUGGGGUGACACCUGCCCGGUGCUGGAAGGUUAAGAGGAGAUGUGAGAGCAUCGAAUUGAAGCCCCAGUAAACGGCGGCCGUAACUAUAACGGUCCUAAGGUAGCGAAAUUCCUUGUCAGGUAAGUUCUGACCCGCACGAAUGGUGUAACGA
rnacentral:rRNA from 1 species